CCAAAACCCUAAGGUCACCAUUCUCUAGCCGCCACCAUCGUUUGGAGCACCUCGGAAGCCGGUUGCAUCACCAAACCCUAUCGCCGCCAUUUCAGUGCCGUCGAGCAUCGUUAUCACUCGCCUGUUACCGGAGACGUCGAGGAGUAACCAAAGGACCACCAAAGAGGAAGGAAUCGUCGUGUUUGUCGCUGCUCGAGUCGUGAACUACCGAGAAAGUCGCUGGAACCAUCACCAUUGGAAAUGGUAGCCGCCGCCGCUGUGUUGCUGCUGUCGCUAUCGGACCUUCGUAUGCCACCAUGAAGUGGGUGGUUGUGUGCAUUCCCGAGUAAGAGACGUAUUUUGUGGUGUGUUAGUAUAGCCGGAAAAGCAAGAAAGGCCAACGCCACCUCAUGCCGCCGCGAGCCACCGCCGGCCACCAUGGUGUGGCUGUGUGUGUGUGUAUGUUUAGAUUAGUUUAGUGUGUGUGGGUGUGUGUGGUUAUUGAGAUUUAGCCUUGUAAAAUGUAAUUUGAAUUUGGAAUAAUGAAAAUGAAGUAAACCACCGCCGUAAGGUGGUGGCCGCUGCCGUGAGCCGCCAUCGACCACCACUACCCGAGGUGGUAGUGGGUGGUGCCCCGCUAGCAAACCCUAAUGGGCUUAGAUAUUGGUUUUGGGCCUAUUGGGCCAUGUUUGGGUGGAAAACCCUAAUUAUGAGUUUUGGGCCUUAGACUUAUUGGGCCCACUUGUGGACCAUUGGGAUUGGAUUGUGAAUUAAGCCCAAACUAGUUCAUGCCAUUUAUCUAGUAGAGUAAAGGAAUUAAUGGAUCAAGUCCUUAAUGGACUAAUUGAGAAAAUCCUAGUAUUUGAGAAGUUAUCAGAACACACACACGAGACUUAUUUAAUAAGUGAAAUAUUAAAUAAUAAUCAUUGGCAGAAAUUAAUCUAAGCAAUAAUGGACUUAAUGGAUUAAGUCCUUAAUGGAUUAAGUCCCUAGUGUGUUAAGUCCUUAGUGGGUUAAGUAAGCAACACUUAACCCUAGUUAUCAUUUGAUGUGAAACCCUAAUUUCACUUGGGCUUUGUGUUGGGCCAUCUGAGAAUAAUCAAAUGGACUAGAGUAAUUAGUUGGGCUUUAGGGUAAGGCCCAUAUGAAUGAUUGGGCCCAAUUUGGAAAAUUGGGCCGUAGAUGGGCUAUAGUUGGGGCCUAGAUGGUUGUAUGAUAUUGGGCCCUAGAAUGAUACAUGUUGGACUGGACUGAUCAAUUGGGCCUUAAGGGAAGUCCAUGUAGAGGUUUGGGCCCAAUUUGGAAAAUUGGGCCAUAUGUUGGGCUUUGAUCCCUAGUUGACUUUGGGCCUAUGGAUUGGGCCUUGGGCUUGGGUAAGCCAAGCUAGGGGUAAUGUAGUAAUUAUCCAAAGCAUGUAUUUUUAGUUGUGUUAGAACCCAAUUAUUAAUUGGGUGUUAUUUGGUGUUGACAGUUCGGAAAUCUGUCAGCCAGCAGCUAGGGUGGAGUCUGCGGGACUUCAGCAGUGUGGGAUUGUGUCUACGGGACUUCAACAGUGUGAGGUACUCAGUUUUUAAAAGAGGAGCUCGGGAAGAUUGCAGUGCACACACCAUUUGUUCAGCCUGGGAUGUUUAUACUCUGAUAUAUUUGACAGUUGUUAAGAUAUUUUGAGAUACAUUCUUUAUAAUUCUUAUAUGACAUUUGAUGAAUAUGGUUUUAUUACUAAUUUAAAACGAAAUUUUCAGUCUGUA